rnacentral:rRNA from 1 species
UACGUAGGGGGCAAGCGUUGUCCGGAUUUAUUGGGCGUAAAGAGCGUGUAGGCGGCCAGGUAGGUCCGUUGUGAAAACUCGAGGCUCAACCUCGAGACGCCGAUGGAAACCAUCUGGCUAGAGUCCGGAAGAGGAGAGUGGAAUUCCCGGUGUAGCGGUGAAAUGCGCAGAUAUCGGGGAAGAACACCCCGUGGCUAAGGCGGCUCUCUAGUACGGUACUGACGCUGAGACGCGAAAGCGUGGGGAGCGAACAGG